GGGUUGUGAGGUUAAGCGACUAAGCGUACACGGUGGAUGCCCUGGCAGUCAGAGGCGAUGAAGGACGUGCUAAUCUGCGAUAAGCGUCGGUAAGGUGAUAUGAACCGUUAUAACCGGCGAUUUCCGAAUGGGGAAACCCAGUGUGUUUCGACACACUAUCAUUAACUGAAUCCAUAGGUUAAUGAGGCGAACCGGGGGAACUGAAACAUCUAAGUACCCCGAGGAAAAGAAAUCAACCGAGAUUCCCCCAGUAGCGGCGAGCGAACGGGGAGGAGCCCAGAGCCUGAAUCAGUGUGUGUGUUAGUGGAAGCGUCUGGAAAGGCGCGCGAUACAGGGUGACAGCCCCGUACACAAAAAUGCACAUGCUGUGAGCUCGAUGAGUAGGGCGGGACACGUGGUAUCCUGUCUGAAUAUGGGGGGACCAUCCUCCAAGGCUAAAUACUCCUGACUGACCGAUAGUGAACCAGUACCGUGAGGGAAAGGCGAAAAGAACCCCGGCGAGGGGAGUGAAAAAGAACCUGAAACCGUGUACGUACAAGCAGUGGGAGCACGCUUAGGCGUGUGACUGCGUACCUUUUGUAUAAUGGGUCAGCGACUUAUAUUCUGUAGCAAGGUUAACCGAAUAGGGGAGCCGAAGGGAAACCGAGUCUUAACUGGGCGUUAAGUUGCAGGGUAUAGACCCGAAACCCGGUGAUCUAGCCAUGGGCAGGUUGAAGGUUGGGUAACACUAACUGGAGGACCGAACCGACUAAUGUUGAAAAAUUAGCGGAUGACUUGUGGCUGGGGGUGAAAGGCCAAUCAAACCGGGAGAUAGCUGGUUCUCCCCGAAAGCUAUUUAGGUAGCGCCUCGUGAAUUCAUCUCCGGGGGUAGAGCACUGUUUCGGCAAGGGGGUCAUCCCGACUUACCAACCCGAUGCAAACUGCGAAUACCGGAGAAUGUUAUCACGGGAGACACACGGCGGGUGCUAACGUCCGUCGUGAAGAGGGAAACAACCCAGACCGCCAGCUAAGGUCCCAAAGUCAUGGUUAAGUGGGAAACGAUGUGGGAAGGCCCAGACAGCCAGGAUGUUGGCUUAGAAGCAGCCAUCAUUUAAAGAAAGCGUAAUAGCUCACUGGUCGAGUCGGCCUGCGCGGAAGAUGUAACGGGGCUAAACCAUGCACCGAAGCUGCGGCAGCGACGCUUAUGCGUUGUUGGGUAGGGGAGCGUUCUGUAAGCCUGUGAAGGUGUGCUGUGAGGCAUGCUGGAGGUAUCAGAAGUGCGAAUGCUGACAUAAGUAACGAUAAAGCGGGUGAAAAGCCCGCUCGCCGGAAGACCAAGGGUUCCUGUCCAACGUUAAUCGGGGCAGGGUGAGUCGACCCCUAAGGCGAGGCCGAAAGGCGUAGUCGAUGGGAAACAGGUUAAUAUUCCUGUACUUGGUGUUACUGCGAAGGGGGGACGGAGAAGGCUAUGUUGGCCGGGCGACGGUUGUCCCGGUUUAAGCGUGUAGGCUGGUUUUCCAGGCAAAUCCGGAAAAUCAAGGCUGAGGCGUGAUGACGAGGCACUACGGUGCUGAAGCAACAAAUGCCCUGCUUCCAGGAAAAGCCUCUAAGCAUCAGGUAACAUCAAAUCGUACCCCAAACCGACACAGGUGGUCAGGUAGAGAAUACCAAGGCGCUUGAGAGAACUCGGGUGAAGGAACUAGGCAAAAUGGUGCCGUAACUUCGGGAGAAGGCACGCUGAUAUGUAGGUGAAGUCCCUCGCGGAUGGAGCUGAAAUCAGUCGAAGAUACCAGCUGGCUGCAACUGUUUAUUAAAAACACAGCACUGUGCAAACACGAAAGUGGACGUAUACGGUGUGACGCCUGCCCGGUGCCGGAAGGUUAAUUGAUGGGGUCAGCGCAAGCGAAGCUCUUGAUCGAAGCCCCGGUAAACGGCGGCCGUAACUAUAACGGUCCUAAGGUAGCGAAAUUCCUUGUCGGGUAAGUUCCGACCUGCACGAAUGGCGUAAUGAUGGCCAGGCUGUCUCCACCCGAGACUCAGUGAAAUUGAACUCGCUGUGAAGAUGCAGUGUACCCGCGGCAAGACGGAAAGACCCCGUGAACCUUUACUAUAGCUUGACACUGAACAUUGAGCCUUGAUGUGUAGGAUAGGUGGGAGGCUUUGAAGUGUGGACGCCAGUCUGCAUGGAGCCGACCUUGAAAUACCACCCUUUAAUGUUUGAUGUUCUAACGUUGACCCGUGAUCCGGGUUGCGGACAGUGUCUGGUGGGUAGUUUGACUGGGGCGGUCUCCUCCUAAAGAGUAACGGAGGAGCACGAAGGUUGGCUAAUCCUGGUCGGACAUCAGGAGGUUAGUGCAAUGGCAUAAGCCAGCUUGACUGCGAGCGUGACGGCGCGAGCAGGUGCGAAAGCAGGUCAUAGUGAUCCGGUGGUUCUGAAUGGAAGGGCCAUCGCUCAACGGAUAAAAGGUACUCCGGGGAUAACAGGCUGAUACCGCCCAAGAGUUCAUAUCGACGGCGGUGUUUGGCACCUCGAUGUCGGCUCAUCACAUCCUGGGGCUGAAGUAGGUCCCAAGGGUAUGGCUGUUCGCCAUUUAAAGUGGUACGCGAGCUGGGUUUAGAACGUCGUGAGACAGUUCGGUCCCUAUCUGCCGUGGGCGCUGGAGAACUGAGGGGGGCUGCUCCUAGUACGAGAGGACCGGAGUGGACGCAUCACUGGUGUUCGGGUUGUCAUGCCAAUGGCACUGCCCGGUAGCUAAAUGCGGAAGAGAUAAGUGCUGAAAGCAUCUAAGCACGAAACUUGCCCCGAGAUGAGUUCUCCCUGACCCUUUAAGGGUCCUGAAGGAACGUUGAAGACGACGACGUUGAUAGGCCGGGUGUGUAAGCGCAGCGAUGCGUUGAGCUAACCGGUACUAAUGAACCGUGAGGCUUAACCUUACAACGCCGAAGCUGUU
rnacentral:rRNA from 1 species